UACGUAGGGUGCAAGCGUUGUCCGGAAUUAUUGGGCGUAAAGAGCUCGUAGGCGGCCUGUCGCGUCGGCUGUGAAAACCCGGGGCUCAACCCCGGGCCCGCAGUCGAUACGGGCAGGCUAGAGUCCGGCAGGGGAGACUGGAAUUCCUGGUGUAGCGGUGAAAUGCGCAGAUAUCAGGAGGAACACCGGUGGCGAAGGCGGGUCUCUGGGCCGAUACUGACGCUGAGGAGCGAAAGCGUGGGGAGCGAACAGG
rnacentral:rRNA from 1 species